rfam:Felis catus isolate Cinnamon breed Abyssinian chromosome C2, whole genome shotgun sequence.
GCCUGGGUGGCUCAGUUGGUUGAGCAUCUAACUUCGGCUCAGGUCAUGAUCUCACAGUUUGUGGGUUCGAACCCCAUGUCAGGCU